AUGGUAGCCCUUGCCACAUCGGGCACAGAUAGUUGCAGGCCUCCUGUCUCCCUUGGUUAUCCUACAGUCUCUUUUUAAAUGGCCCAUUUUUCCACAUUGAAAACAUGAUCUUGUAUCUGUCCCUUUAAGGGGGCGUUGCCGGGACUGGAGAAUGGCGGCCGCCAAGCCUGCGUUAGUAAGAGGCCCACCGAGUUCUCUGCAGACUCUGAGCCAGUCCUGUAAUCCUUUGUUUUUUCUGGGUGCUAUAGCCACCCGGCAUUCCUGGGUGGCUUGCUCAUAAACGAGCUGUUCUAUGAGCGGUGCUGCUUGCUCCACAUCACCAAAUAUUCGUCCUGCAGUCUCUGUCAUUCUGGCUACGAAGUCUGAGAACGGUUCCUGAGGUCCCUGGAUGAUACGAUUCUGAAUCCUCCUUGUCACCAAGGGGUCUCCGGAGGUGCUGAUGAGGUCUUUUUCCCGGGUUUCUGGCACCAAAUGUCCCACACUACGUCUCGCCAGCAAGAAUGACGCAGGACACAAAGGAUCCUUCUGCAGAAAUAGCUUUAAUGCAUCUUGAGAGCGAGAGCACAAGCUUACAAUAUGGAGACCCCAAGUGAGGGAAAGACCAUCCCUUAUAUAGGAAACUAUCCUCGCCUAGGACGUGUCACUCUCUGGCUGGUCGCUGCCAGAUGUGCCAGAUGACGUACCACAGCAUACGUGUCCCCCUGAGUGAGGAAUUUACCAGGCGCUUGUGUAUUGCCCUUUUAUUAGGUGCAUCCUGCCGGAUAUUGGCGCCAUCUUACAAUGGAGAAUGUGAGGACGGCCCUCCACAAGGAACCAUAUGGGGCUGGGCUCAGGAAGAACCAAUGUAAGGGAUAUCAACAACCCUCGGGAUUUAGCAACCAACCUAAGGGCACUUGGAGAGGAGGCAGUCCCUGUCUAUCCCUUACCUGUAACCCUGUUGUUAUCCAGUUUACGCAAAAGGGAAAGGAAGCCUGGGACUGGACCAAAGGAAAAACCUGGGGCCUAUGGUUAUUCAAAGGAGGGUAUGAUGAUGGACUUCUAUUCAACGUCUGCAUGAAAUUAGAAGUCACCUCUGUAUCACUGGGACCUAACCCAAUGCUAGCUCCCCGCCAGCCUGUUUAGGUUCAAACUACUGCUUUGCCCCUGAUAUCUUCCUCAGUACUGGGAGGGGGUCCAAGUGACCCUGUAGCCCCCUUGACCAUGCUCAUAGAGAAGACCUUGCAGGUCCUCAAUGAAACCAACCCCAAUGCCAACCAUUCCUGUUGGCUUUGUUAUGCUGUGGCUCCACCAUAUUAUUAAGGAAGAGACUUAAUGGCUCAGUGACCUCAUCAACCAAUGCCUCACUGUACUAAUGGCAGCAAAAGACCAAGCUGGCUAUACAGGCUGUAACAUGGACAGGGCUUUGUAUGGGUAAGGUCCCACCAACCCAUCUUCAGUAAUGUUCACACAUCAUAGCCACUACUGACUCUCCUGUCUACUACCUGCUCCCCCAAUAUGGAGAGUGGGCUUGCGUCUCAGGAUUGGCUCCUUUUGUGCACUCUGAUGCCCUGAACCAGUCCUCUGAUUUCUGUUCAACUGAUCCCAAGGCUUAUUUACCCCCCCCCACUGAGAGCUUCCAAAUAGACAAGACAAUACCCUCCAUUGAACAAAGAAGGAACCCUUCAUAGUGUCCUUGCUGGGAGUGGCUGGAGUGGCUCCUAGUACCUCUUCCUCGGUGCUACAGGGUCACCAAUACCAGAACCUCAGGGCCACCAUAGAUCUGGACAUUGAAAGAAUGGAAACGUGGAUCUCCCACCUACAGGAGGCUCUGACCUCUCUGUCAGAAGUGGUCCUACAGAAAAGAAGAUGGUUUACUGCUCCUCCAACAGGGAGGACUGUGUGCUGCCCUCAGUGAAGAAUGUUGCUUUUAUAUAGACCUUUCCGGGGUAUAUAAGGAUUCCAUGUCUAAGGUUAAGGAAGUGCUAGCUAAACGGACGACAGAGAGAGAGAGAGAGAGAGAGAGAGAGAGAGAGAGAGAGAGAGAGAGAGAGAGAGAGAGAGAAAUUGAAUUUGGUUUGAAUCUUGGUUUAAUUCCUCCCUGUGGAUGACAACCCUAAUCUCCACUUUAUUGGGUCUUAUUUUUAUUUUGCUGCUUGUACUAACUGUUGGUACUUGCAUUAUUAACAAGCUGAACACCUUUGUAAAAGAUAGAAUAAGUACUGUGCAGCUGAUGGUUUUAAGGCAACAAUAUGAGUCCCUAAGAUCAGGAGAGGAAGAAUAUGAGAUAGCCGAGUCUUAUUACCGAGAAGGAAGAGCAGAACUCACAUGAGAAAAAGGCAGAAUGAUAAGAUUGAGCAACUCUGACCCAACCCAAAGAUGACUCCAGGAAAGGGCGUUAGGCCCCAAGGGAGAGUUUCAUGUCCCUGGCCUCAGGACAAUUUCCCAGAAACAGUUCAGAUAAAAUACUUGUCAGAAAAACCAUAAAAUGUACUGGCCAAUGGAACCUGGGCCCUCUGGGGAACAAAGGUAUCCUCCUGGGACGAUUGCUGUUACUGUAAUCUGCCCUCUAGAAAAAUGUAUAAAAGGUGCUUGCAAGUUAAAUCAGAAUCACCUCUGGUCUCUUGCUUGAGAGACUGCUGAAGGUCAAUCCUGGUGCACCGGAAAAAUAAACCUGUCUCCUGGCAGGUAAAGAUACUCUGGGGCUAUACAAGCUCUCUUACCACAGAAGCUGAGAAAAUUCUGGCCCCUGUAAGAGUGGCUUGUGCAGAUAAUCAACCCUGGACGGGCUUCUCCUGCUCAGCUAAACUCCUAGCUACAGGUGCGAGGCAAGUUAUCAGUUUUUGUUGUACAAAUUGAGACAGCUUUUUUCUUUUUUUGAAAGAGGUUAAAACUAGAUCAAGGGGUGAACAACCCACAAAUAAAUUUUUAAUCGUUUUCUUUUCUUUUCAACAUGGAAUGCAGAGCAACAAUCAAGCAAGGACAUGAAAACUCAGGCAUAAACUAACAGACAUGGACAGAUGGGCCUGCUCAGGACAGACAAUAUACAGAGAGGGAAGAGAACUAGAUGUGCCAAAGGGACCCAGAUAUCCUACCCAAGAUACAUGAACCAGAACUAAACAUUCCUCCAGUAGGAAUCAAAGGAAGCAGGAUGUCUCCUGACCUCCUCCUGUCCCUAGAAGAGCUCUGAAAAGCUUACAUUCAUUUUCCUCCUCUUUUAUCAAAUCAUCUCCGGAUAGGCUAGGAGGACUGCUUUUUGGAAACCUAUUCUCCCUCUCAUGUCUAGAGUCUAAACUAUCUCUAAUCAGGGUCCAAAGACUAAAAACAUCUAUGAGAAAUAUCUUUGCUUCUCUAGAUUUCAGCAUAACUCUAAACACAUACACAGAAAGUAUUCUACCAUUUCCUUGUCCUUUUUUAUAGGGUUUAUUCACUGCUGGCCCAAAUCAUAUUUAUUUUCCUUUGCACAAGCUCCUUUCCCCUCUGUGUCCUUCACAGUAUCUCCUAUACUUGAGCUCCAAGUUGAGGCGCCAUCUGACCAAGCCUGCUUAGUCAUUCAACCAGUUCUCAAGGAAGGGGGUAGAGAUUGAAAAGAAAUAAGACAAUUAGACAGCAUAAUAACAUGAUUCUAGCAAGUGCUGAGGCUGAAACAGGUUUAUUUUUUCCCUGUCUGCUUGUAUACCAUUUGAAGUACAUGCAAGCAAUAGGUCACUUCUAGGUCAAGAAACAAACAAGGCAAUGACCAAAAUCCUGUGAUCACUGUUUCUAGGGGCCUUAUCAGGAUGACCAAGGCAAAAGGAAUGCCACAUAUCUUAGGCUGAGUUUGCCUUGAAUGUUGUAUUAACCCAAAUGUAAAUAUUUUUAAUCUGAGCCUACUUCCUGAGUCCUAGCCCAAUGUCAAAUUCCUGCCAGAUUCUUACAAGGCAGCCCCAAAAACUCUCCACAUAAAAUAGUACAGAAAAAAAAUGCCCAGAAAAUUUACAAACCAGAAUGUCAAGUUACCAAUAGUGUAGAUAGUGAAGUGAAUAAGUGGAUAAAGUGCAUGGCAGUGACACAAAUGGGAUGGUAAGAGGCUGGGGGUGGCAUGUGUAAGUUUGGUAAGGUUAAGCAGUGUAAAGGAUGGGUGAAAGUUGCCUACUGUCACAUGCUUAAUGAUCAUGUCAGGAGACUAAUGAGUAAUGAGAGAUAUAUAACACAUGAGAACAUUAAACUGAAAUUAAAAUAUAUUUCAAUACUGUUACAAGGAAAACAAUUUUUAUAUUCAGGAGUCAUAACCAUUCGCAUGUAGGUUCAAUAAGGAAAGGGAUAUUAACUAUCUAUGAAGAAAGAACAAUGGAUUGAAAAUAAACUUCUCAAAGGAGUAAAGCAAAGACAGUAGAGUAAAGCUAGACACAAUGAGAACUGUCCUUUCCCCAACAUUUGUUCUUAAGUCAGGGUGUAAGAUUCUCAGACUAAACAUGGCAGGCCUUCCAGAUGUUGCCACCCAGAAGGCUGUGGAAGGAAAAGGGUUAAGCAUGGUCCUACUGGAACAGCUUAAGCCUACAGGCAUGGUGUGUCUUUCCACACACAGCUAAGCUCUUUGGGUCCUGGAAGCCAACAUUAGGAGGGCAGUUUAGGGAUUGUGGAAAAAUUUCACAUCAUCCAGUUCUGAUGUGAUAAUUCAGAAAUCAUGAGGACCAGGCUUGUAGCUUGUUUCUCUGUGGGAGUCAAUAAUAUUAUAAAUACUAAGCUGGUCUUACCAGAUAUUUAAAAUCACCCCAGGGAGGGGGAGGCUUGGGAGGACUGCAGGCUCUGCUGAUAAAGUCUUUGAUCCUAAAAUUGAUUUUAGGCAACAUAGUGAAAGGAAGAUAAAUUGAUUUGGCCUCUCAAAUAGUCAGCUUGACUACAAGAAAUGCUGCUCACCACUGUACUGGAAUACCUGAGCAGUUCGUGUUAUCUGACAUUGUGAAUUGACCUGAAAAAUCUCCAAUUUGAGUAUGCUACCCUGACAAACUGAAUGGCACCACACCCCACUGAGAACUACAGGUAUGUAUACCUGAUUAUAACACUCCAGAGCAGCAUAAAAAAUUAAAAUAACUGGGCCAUAGCUUUAAAUACUUUGAUCAAGGCACAGAGUAGUAGAAAAGUCUAUGAUCAUUCUAAAUUAAAUUCUUUUCUAAAUUAGCUGGAGGCAAAGAUCAAACAAAAUUUCAUCCCGUAAGAUGCUAAAUUUAAAGAUAGAUUAACUUUCCAGAUCCACUAAAUCUCAUAUCUAAACAUUGACAGUGAAAGAUAAAAUGAUUUCUGGCUGGUCAAGAAUUUCAUAUUUGAAUGAUUUUUAUAAGUUCAUGUAUUUUAAAUAUCCGAAUCAAUUUUGCCUGCCACUCAAUUCAAAAUAACCCUCAGAUUCUGCAUAGGCUCCUGCUCUAGUGAAAUCCAAAAAUGACCUGCCAGGUGGCUUUGGAUAGAUGUCAAUUAUGUUCUCGCUUGACAACUACUGUUUAUUGCCUCUAGAACUGUAUUUAGUAUUGGUAUACCUGCAUAUCAAAAAUGCCAAUUAGCGUCAUACCAAGAAAAAGACAAUUCCCCAUGCACAAAUCAUCACAAAAUACGAGUAGACUGAGUAUUUAAAGUAUUUGCUGGAGCUCCAUUGAAUUUUACUCAACCUGUCCCCCACCAUUCAGACAUGAAUGGUGAAAAGGCAGCUUAUUUUGACAAAUGGCAAAAGGGCAAAACUGGUAUGAAUAGCCUCCCAAAAGACCUUUAGCUCAUCCUUCUUUCCUGCUCAUUCCUCCUGCAAUAUAUAUGCAUUUGCUAAAGCUAUAGAUGUCAUCUUGAACCAUGAAGAAACUUUGGUAGAAAAAUGUGAUUGGGAAUAACAAAUAAAAAAAUAUUUUGAAUCCUGAAAUUUCUGAAGGAGGUGAGGCUUCUGACUGUAGAAUUGCCAACUGCAUUUCUGUCAGGUGAAGGUAAGCUUCUAUCACUUCACAGCCUCUUCGAUUUGAGUUUUGAGUUGGAAACUGAUGAAUCAAUCCCUGGGGAUAAGGUACCAGUAGUUAUUCUUUCUGGCCCACAGUAAGAACAUCCAUUUAUACCUUAGAUUAUUAGAAAAGAAAUCACAUGAGUGUGAGUACUCCAUUUAGAUUAUCUAUGAGACACCUCAGGCAACUUCAAAAGAAAAGGCACUUCAAACGAUGGAAGACCCAUCCUGAUUAUAGACAACUCCAUUCUGUAGGCUGUGCUCAAAAACUUAAUCAAAGGGGCAGGGGGAGUGUGAGCACCAGCAGCCAUUGUUUCUCCACUCUACACUUUCUGACCAGCCCCCUCAGACUCCAGUCACCUUUUCCACUGCGACAGACUUUGAUUGUUACCUCAUGUUCCGACCACUGCAAUGGACUGUACUUUCAGCCCCUUCAAAAAAUAAACUCUUUCUUUCUA